rnacentral:rRNA from 1 species
UAGAGUUUGAUCAUGGCUCAGAUUGAACGCUGGCGGCAGGCUUAACACAUGCAAGUCGAGCGGUAACAGAAAUAGCUUGCUAUUUGCUGACGAGCGGCGGACGGGUGAGUAAUGCUUGGGAAUAUGCCUUAUGGUGGGGGACAACAGUUGGAAACGACUGCUAAUACCGCAUAACGUCUACGGACCAAAGGGGGGGAUCUUCGGACCUCUCGCCAUUUGAUUAGCCCAAGUGAGAUUAGCUAGUUGGUAAGAUAAUGGCUUACCAAGGCGACGAUCUCUAGCUGGUUUGAGAGGAUGAUCAGCCACACUGGGACUGAGACACGGCCCAGACUCCUACGGGAGGCAGCAGUGGGGAAUAUUGCACAAUGGGGGAAACCCUGAUGCAGCCAUGCCGCGUGUGUGAAGAAGGCCUUCGGGUUGUAAAGCACUUUCAGUUGUGAGGAAAGGUGUGUAGUUAAUAGCUGCAUACUGUGACGUUAACAACAGAAGAAGCACCGGCUAACUUCGUGCCAGCAGCCGCGGUAAUACGAGGGGUGCAAGCGUUAAUCGGAAUUACUGGGCGUAAAGCGUUCGUAGGCGGUUGAAUAAGCAAGAUGUGAAAGCCCAGGGCUCAACCUUGGAACUGCAUUUUGAACUGUUUGACUAGAGUACUGUAGAGGGGGGUAGAAUUUCA